rnacentral:rRNA from 1 species
AUUGAACGCUGGCGGCAUGCCUUACACAUGCAAGUCGAACGGCAGCACGGGGCAACCUGGUGGCGAGUGGCGAACGGGUGAGUAAUGCAUCGGAACGUGCCAUUGAGUGGGGGAUAACGUAGCGAAAGUUGCGCUAAUACCGCAUAUUCUGUGAGCAGGAAGGCAGGGGACCGCAAGGCCUUGCGCUCUUUGAGCGGCCGAUGUCAGAUUAGCUAGUUGGUGAGGUAACGGCUUACCAAGGCGACGAUCUGUAGCGGGUCUGAGAGGAUGAUCCGCCACACUGGAACUGAGACACGGUCCAGACUCCUACGGGAGGCAGCAGUGGGGAAUUUUGGACAAUGGGCGCAAGCCUGAUCCAGCCAUGCCGCGUGAGUAAAGAAGGCC